rnacentral:rRNA from 1 species
CUGAGAGAUGAUCAGGUAGAUAGGUCAGGAGUGGAAGUACAGUGAUGUAUGGAGCGGACUGAUACUAAUCGAUCGAGGACUUAACCAAU